UCACCCCCCCAGCUCCUCCUGCACAGGGCAAAGUAGAGAAUUUAUCAGCUCUGGAGUUACUCGCUGGAGACUUUGUGGCUCCAACUAAAGCUUCUGGAGUUCAGGCCCCCGUCCCUCCUUCUACCAAGAUACCAGAGAGGACAGUUUGUCCACCCGGCAGAAUUGAUGUCAAGCCUGCUCAACCACAACAUGGAAAACCCAAGAUUGAGAAGGGUGACUCUCUGUCUCUGGAUGCUCUCAGCGCUCUUGGCGACACGUUGCCAGCUGAUGUACCAAAACCUGAAUCCCCCAAACUCAGACCAGAGG